UUUUAUUGUUUUUAGAAGAAAUUAGUCAUAGACCCUCUUUCCCUCAUAGUUACAAAUCGGUCUCCAUUUUUCACAAGGCUCACAAAUUUUCUCUCUCCUCUGAAAGUUGAAACUGCUCCAAAGUAAAAACUCCACAAAAACUCCAUUAAAGCUUCUCCAAAAUUCAUUCAUCAAUAUCAUUACGUUGAAAUUUUCGGGUUCCAUAGUAAAUUGGGAUAGAUUGAAGAACAUCAGAUUUGAAAAGUUGGGUGGCGAGAGUUUCAAGCGCAAGAGAAAGAAAUCGGAGCUUAAAAUUCCUAAAUCGGUGUAUAGUUGAACAUUUGGUUGGAGUUCACUCAAGCAAAGGUCAACAGAGUUUUGAGCUAGUUUUGGCACUUAGAUUCAUCAAGGUUGUGAUAAUAGGCACCUGCUAUCUUGUGUAUGUUAUGGUUUGGUCUCUAGUUCAGAAAAUUCAAAUUUGAGCUACUUCAGAAUUCUGGCACAAUAUCAAGUGCUCAGUGUGAAUUGCUGAUAUCCCAUAUAGAACUUUCAAAUUUGUGAAGCAGACAGAGACAAAAUUGACAAAAUCAUCAAAAUUUGAAGGUUAAACAUUGUAACAAUUAACUAACUAGCUUUUUUUAAUUUUUAGUUAAAGAGUAUUAUUUAUUGUGAGUUGUGUGAGAAAUAUUUGUAAUUUACAAGUACAUCAAUUCAAUAUAAUUUACAUGAUGUUG